UACAGAGGUCCCGAGCGUUGUUCGGAUUCACUGGGCGUAAAGGGUACGUAGGUGGUUGGGUAAGUUUGAUGUGAAAGCUCAGGGCUUAACCCUGAAAUGGCAUUGAAUACUACUUAACUGGAGGUUUGGAGGGGGGACUGGAAUUCUUGGUGUAGCAGUGAAAUGCGUAGAUAUCAAGAGGAACACCAGUGGCGAAGGCGAGUCCCUGGACAACACCUGACACUGAGGCACGAAAGCUAGGGGAGCAAACAGG
rnacentral:rRNA from 1 species